rnacentral:rRNA from 1 species
AUUGAACGCUGGCGGCAUGCUUUACACAUGCAAGUCGAACGGCAGCGCGGGCUUCGGCCUGGCGGCGAGUGGCGAACGGGUGAGUAAUACAUCGGAACGUGCCCAGUAGUGGGGGAUAGCUCGGCGAAAGCCGGAUUAAUACCGCAUACGACCUGAGGGUGAAAGCGGGGGAUCUUCGGCCCUCCCGCUAUGGGAUGGGCCGAGGCCGGAUUAGCUAGUUGGUGGGGUAAAGGCCUACCAAGGCGACGAUCGGUAGCUGGUCUGAGAGGACGACCAGCCACACUGGGACUGAGACACGGCCCAGACUCCUACGGGAGGCAGCAGUGGGGAAUUUUGGACAAUGGGCGAAAGCCUGAUCCAGCAAUGCCGCGUGUGUGAUGAAGGCCUUCGGGUUGUAAAGCACUUUUGGCGGGAACGAAAAGGACUGUGCCAAUACCACGGUUCGAUGACGGUACCCGCAGAAUAAGCACCGGCUAACUACGUG